rnacentral:rRNA from 1 species
UACGGAGGGAGCUAGCGUUGUUCGGAAUUACUGGGCGUAAAGCGCACGUAGGCGGAUAUUUAAGUUAGGGGUGAAAUCCCAGGGCUCAACCCUGGAACUGCCUUUAAUACUGGGUAUCUCGAGUCCGAGAGAGGUGAGUGGAAUUCCGAGUGUAGAGGUGAAAUUCGUAGAUAUUCGGAGGAACACCAGUGGCGAAGGCGGCUCACUGGCUCGGUACUGACGCUGAGGUGCGAAAGCGUGGGGAGCAAACAGG